rnacentral:rRNA from 1 species
UACGUAGGGUGCGAGCGUUGUCCGGAAUUACUGGGCGUAAAGAGCUCGUAGGUGGUUUGUUGCGUCCGCUGUGAAAACUCGGGGCUUAACCCCGAGCCUGCAGUGGAUACGGGCAGACUAGAGUGCGGGAGAGGAGAGUGGAAUUCCUGGUGUAGCGGUGAAAUGCGUAGAUAUCAGGAGGAACACCGGUGGUGUAGACGGCUCUCUGGACCGUAACUGACGCUGAGGCACGAAAGCGUGGGUAGCAAACAGG